rnacentral:ncRNA from 2 species
GUCAUCCUUGAUCUAGGGGAGCGGCGCGAUCUAUGAUCGUAUAGUGAGCCCGCGCUGCUGACACCCGUACAUGAAUUGCCCGUGCCCAGCGCCUUAGUGUGUUGAGCACAAUUUUUGGACGU